UGAUCCUGGCUCAGGAUAAACGCUGGCGGCGCACAUAAGACAUGCAAGUCGAACGGAAGUCGUUAUAAAAGGAGAGAAGAUUUGUCGGGAUUGAAUUUUAUAACAAUGGCUUUAGUGGCGGACUGGUGAGUAACGCGUAAGGAACCUACCUAUUAGAGGGGAACAACAAUGAGAAAUCAUUGCUAAUACCGCAUAUGCCAUAACUACCGCAUGAUAGAAGUGGGAAAGGAGUAAUCCGCUG
rnacentral:rRNA from 1 species